AGAGUUUGAUCAUGGCUCAGAACGAACGCUGGCGGCAUGCCUAACACAUGCAAGUCGAACGCUUUUGGGGUUUCGACCUCAAGGGAGUGGCGCACGGGUGAGUAGCGCGUGGGAACCUGCCCUGUUGUGGAGGAUAACCGAGGGAAACUUCGGCUAAUACCGCAUGCGCCGGGAGCGAUCCCGGGAAAGAUUUAUCGCAGCAGGAGGGGCCCGCGUCGGAUUAGCUAGUUGGUGGGGUAACGGCCUACCAAGGCACCGAUCCGUAGCUGGUCUGAGAGGAUGAUCAGCCACACUGGGACUGAGACACGGCCCAGACUCCUACGGGAGGCAGCAGUGGGGAAUAUUGGACAAUGGGCGCAAGCCUGAUCCAGCAAUGCCGCGUGAGUGAUGAAGGCCUUAGGGUUGUAAAGCUCUUUCGCCCGCGACGAUGAUGACGGUAGCGGAGAAGAAGCCCCCAGAAUUCGCG
rnacentral:rRNA from 1 species